UACAGAGGUCUCAAGCGUUGUUCGGAUUCAUUGGGCGUAAAGGGUGUGUAGGUGGCGCCGUAAGUCGGGUGUGAAAUCUCGGGGCUUAACUCCGAAACUGCAUUCGAUACUGCGGUGCUUGAGGACUGGAGAGGAGACUGGAAUUCAUGGUGUAGCAGUGAAAUGCGUAGAGAUCAUGAGGAAGACCAGUGGCGAAGGCGGGUCUCUGGACAGUUCCUGACACUGAGGAGCGAAAGCGUGGGGAGCGAACAGG
rnacentral:rRNA from 1 species